rnacentral:rRNA from 1 species
UGGGGAAUAUUGCACAAUGGGCGCAAGCCUGAUGCGGCCAUGCCGCGUGUAUGAAGAAGGCCUUCGGGUUGUAAAGUACUUUCAGCGGGGAGGAAGGGAGUAAAGUUAAUACCUUUGCUCAUUGACGUUACCCGCAGAAGAAGCACCGGCUAACUCCGUGCCAGCAGCCGCGGUAAUACGGAGGGUGCAAGCGUUAAUCGGAAUUACUGGGCGUAAAGCGCACGCAGGCGGUUUGUUAAGUCAGAUGUGAAAUCCCCGGGCUCAACCUGGGAACUGCAUCUGAUACUGGCAAGCUUGAGUCUCGUAGAGGGGGGUAGAAUUCCAGGUGUAGCGGUGAAAUGCGUAGAGAUCUGGAGGAAUACCGGUGGCGAAGGCGGCCCCCUGGACGAAGACUGACGCUCCGGUGCGAAAGCGUGGGGGGCAAACAGG